GGAGACGUAACCAAGUGGGUCAAGGUGCCUGUUUGAAAAACAGGUUAUGUGGGUUCGAGUCCCACCGUCUCCACCA
rnacentral:tRNA from 1 species